rnacentral:tRNA from 1 species
CUGGGAGUGGAGCUCAGUGGUAGAGCCCCUGCCUAGCAUGUUUGAGGCCCUGGGUUCCAUCCCCAGCACCUGGA